rnacentral:lncRNA from 1 species
CGGCACAGCAGCGGAGAGCCGAAAAAUCACCAAGGGCGAUCGAGUCAUAGCCGUAGGUGGCACGGACCUGCGCGAAGCUUCGGUCGAGGACAUAGCGCUUCACGUGAAAGUCUCGAAUCCGGUGCAGCUGAAACUUCUCAGAUACAAGACCAAGUGACAGGGUUCUGCAGGCGGAACUCUCCUGGUGGUGGUGAUGAGGCUACGUCAACGCAAGCUAGUAGCGGCGCCGGCCGCCUAAAGGGGCAGCGUCGCGCGGAAGACUCUAGUGUGAUAACUUCUCGAUCUAGCGCGUCCUCUAGCGUGUACCAAAGAUAACAUAGUGUAAUGUUGUGACGAUGAUUAUCAUUAUUAUUAUUAUUACUACGGGCGUGCGAGGAGAAUCGGGUGAAAAGACGUGUAUUUGAGUUAGGAGUUAGGCGAGCGAUGAGAGCAGAGAUGCAGAGCAGCGAUCGUUGCUAAACGCUUAUUGUUGUAUGAUUGGCAUUUGUAUUGAUUUAUUAUACGGUAAUAAUGAUAUACCAAACGCUGUUGGCUGUUAUAAAAUAAAUGAACGCCCAACUCGUGGAUGCUUCAAUACAUGGGGUGACAGCGCCUCGGGAAAGAUAUGAAGAGACGCUCUUGAAAAAAUUUGUGUUUCAUCAACUACUGCUUUCAAAGGGCGAGGGCUUGAUAUAAUUAUAUAGUCCUUGCAUAAAGAAAUAACUGAUUUUCGGCCGAAAACAAACAUCUAUAGAAUAAAUGUGCGGGUUUGAUUUUUUCGUGCGAGUUUUUAAUUAAUCAGCCCGUACGCAAACUUGGGAUUUGUACGCGUUUUUACCGAAGUUGAUUGAUGAACUGAGAAAAGAAACGAAAAAAUGACUGUAGCAACUCAAGUGAUUUGGUGCCAUUUCAUUGUCUGGGGAAUUUUUACCGUUACACACAGACCUACUCUCUUUUAUCGAGAAAACAGUAGAAAGUACCCGAGACCGUAUUAUCAAUUUUAUUUCAUACAAAUUACGUAAUGCAUUUAACGACAGUGUUAAACUCAACAAAUGAAAAAUCAUUGACGCAACGGUUGCAUUUGAAGAAAAAAAAAAUUAAAAGUACAUUCCAAAUAAUUGCACUGAGAAUAUAACGUACGCGUACGCCUAUACAUGCACCGCAUACGGAAGAUACAAUACAAUAUAAUUAUGGCUGGGGACCAAAUCGGUUUGACAAUUAUUACUUUACUUUGCUCGAUUAUAUAGUUCGUUACGCCAAAUAUAGGAGAAAUAAUGUGACGUUGGAGACGAUUCUCUUACGUCAUCAGCCAAUCACAGACUGGACAACUGAAAAAAUUAAAAAAAAAAGGUACCUAUAACUCCUUUGAAAUCUAUCUACUGACCGCCAUGUGUAUCUAUAGAGUUACAAGCUCUGUGGUGGUAUUGAUCACUUUUUUUUUUUUUUUUUUUUAAUCGAACGUAGGCACUUUUGUGGUCACUGGUCCUGUAAAACUCGCGCGUUCAAAGCCACAAUUAACAAGGAAACCGAGUCCAAAAGGGAUUUUCCGACGUAUAGAUUUACGGAAUCAUGAUUUACCCAACCGUUGACGAAACUAUUGAAAGGAAUGAUUUUUUUUGUUUUUUUAGAAAGACGUAACAUUGUAACAAAACUUUUAAUCGCGCCAAAAGUGUGUUUUUUAAACCUUUUAGACUACGAAAUCGACGUACAUUGUAAUCAUUUGAAGGAUUGUAUAUACAAGGCAUAUAUACAAGAAGAAAAAUCUACACCAAUUACAUAAUUUAAAGAGAAUGUAUAAGUAUGUAUAGUAGAAACAUUAGCGUACGUGGUAAUGAGUUAGAUUUUAAUGUGUACAUAGCGUAAUUUCUCGCAUUUCCGUGUAACGAUAAGUGGUUUAGUUGUAUAGCAAAGAAAACAAAAAGAAAAUAAUAAAUAUAUAAGAAGGGCAAUAAACAGUUGCCAAAGUAAUAUCUACAUUAUACGUAAAGUUACUAUCGCUAAAUUAUAUACGAUUCUGCGAAAAUUUUAGAUACUAUGAACCUAUAUAAUAGCGUAAAAGUAAUAUAGCAUUGCGGAGCAAAAAAAAAAAAUUCUACAUCUGUUUGGUUACUCGACGUACAACAAAAAUACAAUGUAGAUCGCAUUUAUAAAAUGUAAGAUGGUCAUUAGCCUAAUUGGCGGAUGUAAAAACAAACAGUAAAAGACACCAAGUGAAUUGUGCUACAAGAUUAAAAAAAUAAAAAAGCAUUAAUAAUUGCGUCGUUUGCAAAUAUUUGUUUUCGCACCGCGUAUAUUACAUAUUCUCUAGGGAUAAGAUCGCUUAACUAUAUAUCCCGUUGAUCAUAGAAAAAUGAUUACCGUUUAUAAUAGAAACUUUUAUCGGAGCGCGUCAAAAUGUGUUUUCUGUUAAUAUUAUAUAGUUAAAAAAAUAAAAAAUUAUCUUAGGCGAUUGAAGAGUAUUUAACUGUUACCGUAUGUGCCGUCGAUUACAAUGGAGGAUUGAAAAAUAAAUUUAAAAAGUCCAUUGUACGUAUGAGGCACGCGUCGAAACAAAUACGAUUUUUUAAUAGAAAAAAAUCGCAGUAGUUGUAAAGGUUAAAAAGAAAGAAAAAAUAAAUAAAUAAAUAAAUAAAAUGUCGCCUAUACAUAAUUAUAUUGGUUUAAAACCUUUUUAGAGGGUACAAAUGAUGUUUCUCGUGCUGAGAAAAUUCCAAUGCAAAAAUGAGGCUGACAUAGUUAGAAACAAGCGCUUUUGAUUGAAUUUUUCCAUUAAAUUUUGUAUCGUUAGGUAAAAAUCUGUGGACCCCCGACUUCUCGUCCCACGAGUGAUUUACACAGGAUUCAUGAAAAAGCCAUUUAUCCGGUGCAAGCGUACAUAUUAGGUAACACGCAAUAUUGAUUUCUCGUUUCUCCGGAUCGAUUGUUACGUCAAACAUCUCGCGCAGGUAUAGUGGACAAGUUACCUCUGUAACUCGUACUCGUUACUCGGUGAUUUUUCACGUAACAUCUGGUGCGAACUGAGUUUCAAUAGUUUCGCUACACGUAAAGACAAAAAAAAAAAAAAAAAAAAAAAAAACAAGAGUUU